rnacentral:siRNA from 1 species
AUUUCAAUGGCGAUUUCAUCUCCU